rnacentral:misc_RNA from 1 species
UUGAAUGAACUUGCCCUCCGGGGUAGAUCUCCCACCCUCUGUUUACAUACUUUGUUGCUUUGGCAGGCCCGUCUUCGGACCGCCGGCUUCGGCUGGCCCGUGCCUGCCAGAGGAUUCAAAACUCUGAUAAUUAUGUCGUCUGAGUACUAUUAUAAAUAGUUA